rnacentral:rRNA from 1 species
AACAAAAACAUGUCCUUUUGUUUUAUUUAUUUAAGGUUUGACCUGCCCACUGAAUUUAUUUUAAAUGGCCGCAGUAAUUUGACUGUGCAAAGGUAGCAUAAUCAUUAGUUUUUUAAUUGAAAGCUUGUAUGAAAGGUUGGACGAAGUAUAAUCUGUCUUUAUUUAAUUUAUUAUUGAAUUUAAUUUUUAAGUUAAAAAGCUUAAAUAUUAAUAAAAGACGAGAAGACCCUAUAAAUCUUUAUAUUUUUUAUAAAAUUAUUUUAUUUAGGAUUUUUUAUUUUAUAAUUUUUUAUAGUAUUUUAUUGGGGUAAUAGGAUAAUUAGAAUAAUUUAUUUUGAUUUUAUACAUUAAUUUAUGGUUUAAUGAUCCAAUUUUUUUGAUUAAAAGAUUAAGUUACUUUAGGGAUAACAGCGUAAUUUUUUUAGAGAGUUCAUAUCGAUAAUAAAGUUUGCGACCUCGAUGUUG